rnacentral:rRNA from 1 species
CCCUUAGAUGUUCUGGGCCGCACGCGCGCUACACUGACGAUGGCAACGAGUUUUUCCUUCGCCGAAAGGUGUGGGUAAUCUUUUGAAACAUCGUCGUGCUGGGGAUAGAUCAUUGCAAUUUUUGAUCUUGAACGAGGAAUUCCUAGUAAGCGCGAGUCAUCAGCUCGCGUUGAUUACGUCCCUGCCCUUUGUACACACCGCCCGUCGCUACUACCGAUUGAAUGGUCUAGUGAGGACUCCUGAUUGGCGCCGCCGCCCCGGCAACGGAGCAGCGGACUGCCGAAAAGUUGUUCAAACUUGAUCAUUUAGAGGAAGUAAAAGUCGUAACA